GGGAGGACCUAAGAUGGGCAUUAAAGUUAAAAAUAGAAACAGCUUGCCAAUUUUCUUUAUGGGUUCAACUAAUACUUUCGAAUCGGUGCUCGACCCAGGCCUGGAGCACCGCUUCACGAGGAAGUAAAUCUGCAUUCCCGACGAGACGAGCGGCGAGGCGGCACCGCGGCUCCAGGCGGGGCGGCGGCUCCUCCGACACCCGCGUCAUGCCCUUCAGCUUCCAGCAGCAGACGAGCGGCUGAACAGACACUCCCUGGGAUGACUGAACGACAGCCAGGCUGGACUGAAUGAUCCAGCAGUUGCUGCAGGUAUGGCCAGGUGUUGCAACCCUCCAAUAAGCACCUGUACCAAUCUGGAUAGAGAUGUGUAGUUCACAGUGUAAGGACAAUCCAGUUGCCAGUCAAACAUCUGGCACUGUUCCCCAAAAGAGCUGACAAACUCCGAGCCAAGUUUUUUUUUCUUUACACUCUGACCUAUAGCGCUGGUAGGCUUUCUUCAGGGGCCUGGUGGUUGACCCAAGCCCGUCAUGGCGCAGGGAAGUGUUUAUAGCAGCACCAUUUCUUCUUGGCUCAUGCUGCCCGCCAGAGCUCAUUCUUGAUUCACUUGGACAGUUCCUCUAGAGUUGGGGUAGAUAGGUGAUCUUCAGGACAGCACGUGGGUAGCCUUAUGUCACUUGGCAAUGACUGAAAAAUCCCAGGUGGUAGCAGAAGAUUUGAACCCGCAUUGUCCAGAACUUGGUGAACGCAGGACCUGCACACUAACUAUUCAGCCACUGCCUCUCUGUUCCAACAUGAGUGAAAAAUGAGAGGCCAGAAGAGAGUGGUUGAUCUCAAUUGGAGAAGUGUCUAGAUAGGCAGGAGGAAAUAGAUGAAGGAAGGCUGCUCUGGAGUUAACCUGCAUAAGGAAUUAGGAUAGUAUAGAGACGAGUAGAACGUUAUGUAAAAAGGGACCACAGUAGAGGUGGAGGCAUGUAGUUAGCAAGCUUAGAAGGGCAAUCAUCAUGAAAAUGUCUGUAGAAGACAGAGGGGCAACAUUGCAGCAGAGUUUGCUAUAGAAGAAGAGAGUUUAGGUUUGACUCCAUCAAGUCCAAAACAGCUAUGUGAGUGAAGCCCCUCCUAUAUGAAAUGCGCUCUCCAUACGAGGACAGACAAGGCCCCUGGAUAUCAUUUGUGAGGGGUAAAAAACUGAAAGACUAAUACAGAACACACAACUUCAAAGAAGCUGAUUUAGGAAGAGGUGAGAUGAAAUUAUGAGUUGAGGAUAGACCAAAUAUGUUUAUUGUUUAAGUGGACAGCUGAGUGUUGUCAUAGAAUAGGGAACAGAUGUUCGGAAUUCUAUCCCUCUGUUUUUAUAUCGUGUUUCCUUUCAAGCUAAUCUAUCUUUGCUAUGGUAAUCCUGCCACUGUCUUCCCCUAAACCUCUCAGCACCUGUAUUCUGUACGACUAUUUUAUUUCCCUCUCUGAGGAAAAAGUCAAUUUCUCCGCCUAUCAACUGAACAAAUUCCAUCGUCUAUUCCCUAGUCUUCGACCACACUCAGCGGUCCCCUUCCUCUACACUAAAUAUUCUCUGUCUAUCCUUAACUCAAAACAUUAACUGAAAACUUAUUUCCUCUCUUGCUAAAUCAGAUUCUUCGAGGUUAUGCAUUUGUAUCGUUUUCACCAGUUCUAUUCCCCCUCACACAUGCUGUCCACAUACAAGGGUCUUUUCUGUCCUCAUAUGGAGUAUGACAGAAGUCUUAGACAAAUGGUGGAAAAUUCUGUAGGAUCAAGGUCAUGGGCACGAGAGGAAGUGACAUCUUGGCAUACAUAGAUGCAGCAUCCAGCUUGGAUUGAAAGCUGGGAUGAAGAUAGCGAGAGACAUACAUCACGGCAGCCACUAAUGGACUGGAGUUGUCCAAGAAACCCCCCAAGAAAGCCUACCAUCACUAUUGACGAUUACUGUCAGUAGCCCCAGAGACCCGUGUUUCAGUUAAGAAGAAGAGGUAAAGGAAGAGGAGGUAAAAGAGGAGAGAUGAUGUUCUACAGGAUGGAAACUGAAGCAAAGAUCGUGGAUGUUGCAAAAUUUGGAAAAAAAAGUGAGUUAUCAGGACAGCUGUGUACUAUAGGUUUGUUAUGUCACUGCACAAUACAUUCAAUAAGCUGUAACUUAAAAUAAUUUGUAUCUUUUGAAACUAGAUGCUUAUAAUAUUUCUCCAGAGGCUGCCUGAGUUAUUACUUAGUACAAUUUUGAAGACCUAUAAACAUUUCCAGCUGUUUUUACUGCAUAUUAAUCAUGAUUUGUAUUGUUAGAUAACUAUAUCAGAAUUCAAUUCUAGAGACAGCUGCCAUUAAAUUGAGGUUUUGCAUAUUUUUGAGUUUCACUGUAGAAAGUACCAUGAAUCAAUAUAUUUUGUAGACUUUGUUCACUUGUGUCAUCUCUGUACCAUCAAAAUUCCAGACUAAUUUUCACAAUGUAUACAACAAGCUGAAAAUUUUUGAAUACCUUGGAAGAAGGAAGGCUGGGAGGAUCGAGGCAGGCACGGGCAGUAUACUGGCAGGAGUGAGGACAGCACAGCCUCUACCAUGAUUGAGUUCAGAAGAGCAGACUUCAGGGCAGGCUGAUAGAUGUGAUGUGAUUAUAUAUGAGCAAUUUUUUGAAUAAUUGCAGUGGUUCGUUGGACUCACAAAACUCACAGAGCUCACAAAAUUUAUGUCUCUCUCACAAGUAGACUUGCUAAGGGUAGUGUCAGUAUUUUUGUAGGGGGUUAUUUCUUUCUACACUCGCAUACUCUUCCUGACAUUGAGCUUCAUACUACACUUCCUGGCAUUGAGGUCCAUCUGCCACAUCCCAGCCAAAUCAUACAACCCAUCAAGCUUGCCAUGCAACACACUAGCAUAUUGGUCUGUUCUUAUUUCUAAUCUGCUGACCAAUGUUAAAUUUCACCAACCUCUCCUCAUGCGCUAUAUAAUUAUUGUGCUAGACAAGGCAUCAAUCUGACCUCAGUAUUUGAAUCCUCUAUUAAUUUUAUAUACUUCUCUCUGUAUGAUGACCAUACCACAGCGGCAUAUGUAGGCCUGGAUUGCAUCAUGCACUUUUCUUUUGUUAUAAAUAAAAGCAGCUUAUGUUUAUGAUAAAUCUGAAAAAUGUAAAUAGCAACAGGUAACAUGCUAGUUGACACACCUAUACAUCCAAGUUCUUUUGUGUUGAUUAGCUCCUAGAUAAAUAAUGAUUAACCAAAGGUUCCAGUAUACCUCUUAUACCAAACAAACAAAAUAAAACUUACCUCUCAUGGAGCACUCAACCAAAAUUAAUGUGCAGACUUAAAAAAAAAAAAAAAAAAAACUGUGGUGAUAAUGCAGUGGUUAAUGCUCAUGCUGAUUAUGAUAAGUUAGACUGGUUUGAUUUAGUUUAAUACAUACUGGAAUAUUUCUAUCAGGCCCAGUGUAUCUGUAUUGUUAUCUCCCACUUAUCAGCCAAAUGUUGCUGCUACUUUUGACUUUUUGGGUUUAUUUCUUCAGUCAAAAACUUAUUCUAUUUCUAUCACAAUAUAUUGAUGUGGCAGAUUUUUAAAAACAAUGAAUUGAUAAAGAACACUAUUAGGCUGUCUUAUCCUCCUUCGUGGCGAUCACAUGGCAUUCUUGUGAAGACAGCAGAGCAUGAUGUCACCUGAACUAAUGUAAUAGAUGAAACAUAUAGCAAACCUUAACUUUGAGGAAAUUCUACACUCCAUCGUGCCAUGAUCAAAUUAAGAUGGGCAGGAACAUUGGCAGUGAGGAGAAUGAUUCACGAACUUGGACGUAAAAAAAGUUUUGAAAGGAAUGAGCAGAGCAGAGGUGAAGCAUAUAUGAGCAUAGCUGGGCACGAUAACAGAAAACCUUAUCCCCGAUAACUGAUAAUGGAAAACCUUAUCGGUAAUAACCGAUAUUCGUUAACUGGAAACAAAUAUAGGCGAUAACCGAUACCCGAUAUUAAUCCACAAUUCCGAUACUAGCUAGCGAUAAGCCCGAUAGGCGAAAACGAUACUAUAUUGAUAUUUCAAAUAAAAAUAUAGAUGAA